CGCCCGUCACACCACGAGAGUUUGUAACACCCGAAGCCGGUGGAGUAACCUUUUAGGAGCUAGCCGUCGAAGGUGGGACAAAUGAUUGGGGUGAAGUCGUAACAAGGUAGCCGUAUCGGAAGGUGCGGCUGGAUCACCUCCUUUCUAAGGA
rnacentral:rRNA from 1 species